rnacentral:rRNA from 1 species
AGUGAACGCUGGCGGUAGGCCUAACACAUGCAAGUCGAACGGCAGCACAGUAAGAGCUUGCUCUUACGGGUGGCGAGUGGCGGACGGGUGAGGAAUACAUCGGAAUCUACUUUUUCGUGGGGGAUAACGUAGGGAAACUUACGCUAAUACCGCAUACGACCUACGGGUGAAAGCAGGGGAUCUUCGGACCUUGCGCGAUCGAAUGAGCCGAUGUCGGAUUAGCUAGUUGGCGGGGUAAAGGCCCACCAAGGCGACGCUCCGUAGCUGGUCUGAGAGGAUGGUCAGCCACACUGGAGCUGAGACACGGUCCAGACGCCGACGGGAGGGAGCGGUGGGGAAUAUUGGGCGAUGGGCGCGAGCCUGAUCCAGCCGUACCGCGUGGGUGAAGAAGGCCUUCGGGUUGUAAAGCCCUGUUGUUGGGAAAGAAAAGCAGCAGGUUAAUACCCCGCUGUUCUGACGGUACCCAAAGAAUAAGCACCGGCUAACUUCGUG